GCUGUCCAUUCAAAUAUUUUGUUUAAAUGUUCCUGCAAUCUUGCAAUUGAUGCAGUUUGUGUUUUGCCGACAGACAGAACCGCAGUAUCAUCUGCAAAUGUUGAUGUAAUACAAUUGUCGUCAUAUGGUAGAUCGCACGUAAAGAGUAGGUAAAGAAUGGGUCCUAACACACUACCCUGAGGAACACCAGCCUUUAUUUUUUCUUUAAAUCAGAGUACAUAUCUCCAUGUUUAAUUCGAAAAAAACGGUCCGAAAGGAGCCCGCCAUGGCAAACUUUAUCAAAGGCUUUAGACACAUCGAGAAAAACGGCCGAGCAAACUUUUUUGUCUUCGAAUGCAUUUUCAAUGACUCGAGUUAUUCUAUGUACUUGGUCAAUAGUGGAGUGAUUUUUUCGAAAGCCAAACUGAUGCGCUGGUAUCAGCUUCUCAGCUUAAAAUAAAAUAAAAAUAAAAAUGAAAAAACCUAAAAUGAAACAAGUAAGAAAAUACUAA